ACCUUGCACUCUCCCAGGCGCAGGCACCACUGAGCUAAAUCCCGGGCCCCCAUAGUAAGUUUUUAAAACUUACAUUUACUAUAUUUUUCCAUCACACCUCAUAGAAAGUAUUGGUAAUCAGAUGACCUAGGACUUCCCAACUGCAGCACUGACAUCUAAAAGACAAGAGAGCAAUGCCUUCAAAAUCUGAAGAAACUCCACUCCGCCCAAAGGAACCCAAACAAGGGCUCCAAAAGAUGGCUGCACAGUUCACCGCAAAGGUCACUCACAAAAGCCAAAAGAGCCAAGGAUGGAGCUCAACAGCACUGCACCUGUCUGGCAAGCACAAGGUCCUGAAUUCAAUCCCCAGUACUGAAAACAAAACAAAACAAAACAAACUUCUAUCCAUGAACUUGUGAUUUAAAAAAAAGAAAUUGGUGCUAGUUUUGCUGUCACACCUGAAACUGCAAAUGCUUUGGCCUUUUAAAGUCUUAUUUUAAUCAAAAUCAGAGUAAAAGGCAAGAAAUUUAAUUUUCAAAAGGGCCAGAGGAGUUAAGUUAUAACCCAAUCUUCUGAAGGCGUAAGGCUUAUUAAUCUUUGCCAGGAUAUUCAGUUAAAGUGGAAGGCAAAUUCAGCUUUUGUAGGACUGAAACAUUACUUUUAGAACUCUUGUUCAGAAAAAGAAAGUAAAGUUAAAUACACAAAAUCUGGUACAAAUAUGAUUAUUCAAACAGAAAAGACACUGUAAAUUUUAAAAGCUGACAAACACCAAAUCACAAAAUCCAGAAAAAUAACAUAGUACUGCUAUUAUUAACUGUUUGGAACACCUCUAUAAAUCUUUUUUCCUACUUUUCUUCUUUUAUGAAUAGACUCCAUCCUCACCAUGCACUGUUCUUGCAGUGCUGGGGAUGGAACCCAAGACUUGAUUGAGAUGCUAGGCAAGCACUCUAUCACUGAACUACACACUCAGACUUCCUUUAUUUCAUUUUUUUCUUUGUUUUUUUUGGACAGGGUCUCACUUUGUAGUGCAGGCUGGCCUUGAACUCUCAGCAAUCCUCUUGUCUCAGCCUUCCGAGUGCUAGGAUUAGAGGUGUUCACCACCACACUUGGCUUUUUUUGGGUUUUUUGAGACAGGACGUCACUAUGUAGUUCAGGCUGGCCUCAAACCCUCAGUAAUCUUCCUGCCUCAGCCUCCCAAGUGCUGGGAU
rnacentral:lncRNA from 1 species